rnacentral:rRNA from 1 species
UACGUAGGGUGCGAGCGUUAAUCGGAAUUACUGGGCGUAAAGCGUGCGCAGGCGGCGCGUUAAGACAGGUGUGAAAGCCCCGAGCUUAACUUGGGAAUUGCGCUUGUGACUGGCGUGCUGGAGUGUGGCAGAGGGAGGUGGAAUUCCACGUGUAGCAGUGAAAUGCGUAGAGAUGUGGAGGAACACCGAUGGCGAAGGCAGCCUUCUGGGCCAGCACUGACGCUCAUGCACGAAAGCGUGGGGAGCAAACAGG